rnacentral:rRNA from 1 species
AGUUUGAUUAUGGCUCAGGAUGAACGCUAGCUAUAGGCUUAACACAUGCAAGUUGAGGGGAAACGGCAUUAUGUGCUUGCACAUUUUGGACGUCGACCGGCGCACGGGUGAGUAUCGCGUAUCCAACCUUCCCUCCACUCGGGGAUACCCCGUUGAAAGACGGCCUAAUACCCGAUGUUGUCCACAUAUGGCAUCUGACGUGGACCAAAGGUUCAUCGGUGGAGGAUGGGGAUGCGUCUGAUUAGCUUGUUGGUGCGGGUAACGGCCCACCAAGGCUACGAUCAGUAGGGGUUCUGAGAGGAAGGUCCCCCACAUUGGAACUGAGACACGGUCCAAACUCCUACGGGAGGCAGCAGUGAGGAAUAUUGGUCAAUGGACGUAAGUCUGAACCAGCCAAGUAGCGUGCAGGAUUGACGGCCCUAUGGGUUGUAAACUGCUUUUGUUGGGGAGUAAAGUGAGGCACGCGUGCCUUUUUGCAUUUACCCUUCGAAUAAGGACCGGCUAAUUCCGUGCCAGCAGCCGCGGUAAUACGGAAGGUCCAGGCGUUAUCCGGAUUUAUUGGGUUUAAAGGGAGUGUAGGCGGUCUGUUAAGCGUGUUGUGAAAUUUAGGUGCUCAACAUUUAACUUGCAGCGCGAACUGGCGGACUUGAGUGCACGUAACGUAUGCGGAAUUCAUGGUGUAGCGGUGAAAUGCUUAGAUAUCGUGACGAACUCCGAUUGCGAAGGCAGCGUACGGGAGUGUUACUGACGCUUAAGCUCGAAAGUGCGGGUAUCGAACAGGAUUAGAUACCCUGGUAGUCCGCACGGUAAACGAUGGAUGCCCGCUGUUAGCGCCUGGCGUUAGCGGCUAAGCGAAAGCAUUAAGCAUCCCACCUGGGGAGUACGCCGGCAACGGUGAAACUCAAGGAAUUGACGGGGGCCCGCACAAGCGGAGGAACAUGUGGUUUAAUUCGAUGAUACGCGAGGAACCUUACCCGGGCUUGAAUGCAGACGCAGAUACAGAGAUGUGACUCCCUUCGGGCGUCUGUGAGGUGCUGCAUGGUGUCGUCAGCUCGUGCGUGAGGUGUCGGCUAGUGCAUAACGAGCGCAACCCUUCCUAGUGCAUCAGUGGAUGCUGGGCAUCUGGGGAUACUGCACCCGCAGGGUUGAGAAAGGUGGGAUGACUCAAUCAGACGGCCUUAAGUUCGGCUUACCACGUGUUACAGGGUCGCGGUACACAAGAGGACAGGGUGCAUAGG